ensembl:lincRNA
GGCUCUGAGUUGGGCCACCCCACUCUGGCCCUUCUCUCAAGGACGAAGCGCUUCCCCGCUUCAGAUGGCUGUUCCCCGGUAACCUCAUACACCCAGCCCGCGCGAGCUUGGGCUUCCCGAGGCCCGGCCGGCGGGCGAGCGGCCGCGCACCUGGCUGCGGUGGAGCAGCCCCGCCCCGGAAGUGGGCUUCGGUCUCCUUCUGCCCGGCGGGUCCGCUACCGCGGGCCACGUAGCGUCCCGGCCUCCGCCGACCUCGUUCCGGGCGCCACAACGCGGAAAGGUUGGCCUCUAUUCUUGCUGUUCUCUGCAUGUACACUUCCUUCUUGCCCUGAGCCCGCCCAAAUCCUACCCACUUCUUCAUUCUUCAAGGCCCCUCACAUCACACCUCAGGUAGGAGCAUUUCUUAGCUGCUUGAGUGUCUUACCUGGACUCCUAAUGGGCAGUAUUCAUAAGUUAACCUUGAAUUAUUCAACAUUUUCAUUGGUCUUGCCUUUCCAGCUGAACGCUAUGCAUCUUGUGGUAAGGACCACAUUUUCUCCUUCCUUGUAUCUGCUUAUAUUAUAGUUUGGAACCGUUUAGACAGAAGUACCUACCAACCAAUAGACUCAUGAAGCACAACACUUGGGUGUACAGUAUUUGCAAGGUAUGAACAAGGGUUAUGUUACCGUCAAAAACUUAGGUGACCCAAAGCAGAGCAGAUAUAGCAAUUAUACCAUAAAAUUUAUCAUUCUGCCAAAUAUUAGAGGGUCUUCAGGAAAGACAGGUUGAUUUUGCAAGGGGGACGGCGCUACAAUUACACUAUGUAAUGGUUUCACACAAAUUAACUUGGCAGCCAAUUUUUUAGAAGACCUAGGGGAAGCUGAUUAGGUGCUACGACAAAUUUCUAAGACUGCAAAGCUGAUACUGAGUUUCUACUACAUCUCUAUUCCGAGAAAUCAAGAGGGCAGAACGUGCAGACCACCAGACCCAGAAGCCUUCUUUUAUAUUGAGUUGCAGAGUUCAAGGAGUACCUCCCGAACUGCAUACAGCAUUUAAAAGUUCCACAGAAUCAUCUAAAAAUACUUUUACAAGUCCUUGCCUUCAAAGCCAAAAAGAUCAGGUUUCUGAUAUGUGAGCUGCAAGAAUGCACACAUGUAUGUGUGUAUAUAUAUAUAUAGACACAUGCACAUACACACACACACUUUUAAGGCCCGUACACAUGUGCCCCGGUGGGUAUUUGUUCAAAUACUACAGUCCCAAGCACUGAUUUUAUUUAGUCUGGUUGUUCCUAACACAAACACAUAACUUUAAUUAAAGGCACAUCCAAGUGUAGGGGAAACCAUCUUGAAACAAUUAGACUCUUCUACGUAAGAGGUUUCGGGGCUCUGACAUCCUCCCACCUCCUCACAUCCCUCAUGGAAAGAGACCAGAUGGGGUAAAAGCAAGCCAAGUUCCCUCCAUAAACACAGCCUGGAGCUAUAACUCUGCCCUACUCUAUUCUGUUCUCUUCUGACCAGGACACCACCCUCCUUUUACUUUUUCCUAAACAAAUUCCAGCCAUUUGAUUCCUAUUUUUUUAAAAAUCACUCUUUCAUCACUGUUAGGGGAAAAAACACUUGUGACAUGGUUUCUUAUCUUUUCUCUGAAAGAAAAUAUUCCAGGAAGGAAAUGAAAAGCCUAAGGAAUUACCAAACUAUGCAUGUGGUUGUUGAGCGUGGGCUAUGGAGGCUUCUGGAGAACAUCUGAGAGAUGGCUGUCUUUUUGCCUCUUUCUUGGGACUUUCUGGGUAUUCUGGUUCUAUAGGUAGUAGACUGAAAGUUUCUCUAAACUGCUAGGAAAGCUGGGGUACAGGUUGUGACAUUCAUCACAGUAGUUCUUUUCCCCCUGAAUCCCCAGUUACUUUACCCCUAGGUAAUCUACCCAUCAGCAGAAGGGAGUGAUUUCUCCAUAAGGGCCACACUGAAAAGUC